CACAGUUGGUGGUCGAGCAUCCAACGGUGACGUACACCAACCCGCGCUUCUUCCAGAAUCUCACCAUCACCAGCAAGCGAUACAGCAGAAAGGACCCAAACAGAUACAUCAGCAUCUAUGCUAUAACUAAAAAGGCUUUUGACAACCAUCUGUCUAUAAACUUCAGCUUCUACGAGCUCCUCUCCAACGUGUAUAAGCCCAGCUUCGUCGGUCUCCGCUUCACCAACUACUGCGAAUGGAUCGCCAAAGACACCUACAUAGCUUCCACCAUCUCCGCCGCUUACCUCCGCAGCACGCCCGUCGAAAAACAAAUCGAGAAAAUUGGCUGUCCUUUUCCUCCAGGUGAAUACGUGUUCGGCAACUUCACAAUCCCGAACUCGCCGAUCUUUAAGCGUUUCCCGUUCCUCAACGGCCGCAUCGUCGCCAACUUAUCCUACGACAUCAAGGAGACCGUUGCCAG